AGGGUUCGAUCAUGGCUCAGGACGAACGCUGGCGGCGCGCCUAACACAUGCAAGUCGAACGAGCGAGAGAGAGCUUGCUUUCUCAAGCGAGUGGCGAACGGGUGAGUAACGCGUGAGGAACCUGCCUCAAAGAGGGGGACAACAGUUGGAAACGACUGCUAAUACCGCAUAAGCCCACGGCUCGGCAUCGGGUAGAGGGAAAAGGAGCAAUCCGCUUUGAGAUGGCCUCGCGUCCGAUUAGCUAGUUGGUGAGGUAAUGGCCCACCAAGGCGACGAUCGGUAGCCGGACUGAGAGGUUGAACGGCCACAUUGGGACUGAGACACGGCCCAG
rnacentral:rRNA from 1 species